GAUGAACACUAGCGGCAGGCUUAAUACAUGCAAGUCGAGGGGUAGCAAGAUUGUAGCAAUACAAUUGUUGACGACCGGCAAACGGGUGCGGAACACGUACACAACCUUCCUACAAGUGGGGUAUAGCCCAGAGAAAUUUGGAUUAAUACCCCGUAACAUAGCGAUGUGGCAUCACAUUGCUAUUAUAGCUUCGGCGCUUGUUGAUGGGUGUGCGGCUGAUUAGAUAGUUGGCGGGGUAACGGCCCACCAAGUCUACGAUCAGUAGCUGAUGUGAGAGCAUGUUCAGCCACACGGGCACUGAGACACGGGCCCGACUCCUACGGGAGGCAGCAGUAAGGAAUAUUGGACAAUGGACGCAAGUCUGAUCCAGCCAUGCCGCGUGAAGGAUUAAGGUCCUCUGGAUUGUAAACUUCUUUUAUAAGGGACGAAAAAAGGUCUUUCUAGAUCGUCUGACGGUACCUUACGAAUAAGCACCGGCUAACUCCGUGCCAGCCGCCGCCGUAAAAC
rnacentral:rRNA from 1 species